rnacentral:rRNA from 1 species
GACGAACGCUGGCGGCGUGCUUAACACAUGCAAGUCGAACGGAAAGGCCCUGCUUUUGUGGGGUGCUCGAGUGGCGAACGGGUGAGUAACACGUGAGUAACCUGCCCUUGACUUUGGGAUAACUUCAGGAAACUAGGGCUAAUACCGGAUAGGAGCUCCUGCUGCCUGGUGGGGGUGGGAAAGGUUCGGCGGUUGGGGAAGGACUCGCGGCGUAUCAGCUUGUUGGUGGGGUAGUGUCUUACCAAGGCUUUGACGGGUAGCCGGCCUGAGGGGGUGAUCGGCCACAUUGGGACUGAGAUACGGCCCAGACUCCUACGGGAGGCAGCAGUGGGGAAUAGUGCACAAUGGGCGGAAGCCUGAUGCAGCAACGCCGCGUGCGGGAUGACGGCCUGCGGGUUGUAAACCGCUUUCGCCUGUGACGAAGAGUGAGUGACGGUAAUGGGUAAAGAAGCACCGGCUAACUACGUG